rnacentral:rRNA from 1 species
UAAAGUUGUUGCAGUUAUAAAGUUCGUAGUUGAAUUUCGGGGUCAGCAGGUUGGUCGUGCCACUGGUAUGAACUGGUCUCGCUGAUUCCUCCUUUCUGAAGAACUGUAAUGUCAUUAAUUUGGUGUUGCAGAGAAACAGGACUGUUACUUUGAAAAAAUUAGAGUGUUUAAAGCAGGCAAUUGCUUGAAUACAUUAGCAUGGAAUAAUGAAAUAGGACGUUCAAACCUAUUUUGUUGGUUUCUAGGAUUGACGUAAUGAUUAAUAGGG